rnacentral:tRNA from 1 species
CACCUGGUGGUCUAGUGGUUAGGAUUUGGCACUCUCACUGCUGCAGGCCGGGUUCGAUUCGCAGUCAGGGAA